CCUACGGGUGGCAGCAGUGAGGAAUAUUGGUCAAUGGGCGCAAGCCUGAACCAGCCAUGCCGCGUGAAGGAAGACGGCUCUAGGUGUUGUAAACUCCUUUUGUAGGGGAGUAAACACAGACGCUCGUAUCUUUCUGAAAGUCUCUUACGAAUAAGGAUCGGCUAACUCCGUUCCCGCAGCCGCGGUAAUACGGAGGGUCCAAGGGUUAUCCGGAUUUAGUGGGUUUAAAGGGAGCGUAGGCGGUUGGAUAAGUUAGCGGUGAAAGUAUGGGGCUCAACCGCUGAAUUGCAUUUGAUACUGGAAGGCGAGAGUGCAGGUGAGGUAGGUGGAAUGCCUGGUGUAGCGGUGAAAUGCGUAGAGAGCAGGAAGAACACCGAUGGCGAAGGCAGCUUACUAAACUGCCACUGACGUUGAGGCUCGAAAGCGUGGGGAGCAAACAGGAUUAGAUACCCGAGUAGUC
rnacentral:rRNA from 1 species